UCAGGCCUAACACAUGCAAGUCGAACGAGAAAGCUCCUUCGGGAGUGAGUAGAGUGGCGGACGGGUGCGUAACACGUAGGUAAUCUGCCCUCGAGCCGGGGAUAACGUUUCGAAAGAGACGCUAAUACCCGAUAAGACCACAUGCUGUCCGCAGCGAGUGGCCAAAGGAUGGGAGUCUUCGGACCCAUUCACUUGAGGAGGAGCCUGCGGCUCAUCAGCUAGUUGGUAAGGUAACGGCUUACCAAGGCGAAGACGGGUAGCUGGUCUGAGAGGAUGAUCAGCCACACUGGUACUGAAACACGGACCAGACUCCUACGGGAGGCAGCAGUGGGGAAUCUUGGUCAAUGGGCGCAAGCCUGAACCAGCGACGCCGCGUGAGUGAUGAAGGCCUUCGGGUUGUAAAGCUCUGUGGGGAGGGACGAAAGUGCAUUGGUCCAAUAGGCCAGUGUUUUGACGGUACCUCCUUAGCAAGCACCGGCUAACUCUGUGCCAGCAGCCGCGGUAAGACAGAGGGUGCAAACGUUGCUCGGAAUCACUGGGCGUAAAGCGCGUGUAGGCUGAUUUCCAAGUCAGAUGUGAAAGCCCUGGGCUCAACCCAGGAACUGCAUUUGAAACUGGGAGUCUUGAGUGCUGGAGAGGAAAGCGGAAUUCCUGGUGUAGAGGUGAAAUUCGUAGAUAUCAGGAGGAACACCGGUGGCGA
rnacentral:rRNA from 1 species